UGUCUUGUAAAAUGGAAUGAUGGGAAUUUAAACCUCUUCCAGAGUAUCAAUUGGAGGGCAAGUCUGGUGCCAGCAGCCGCGGUAAUUCCAGCUCCAAUAGCGUAUAUUAAAAUUGUUGCAGUUAAAAAGCUCGUAGUUGAAUUUCUGCUGCAUCGUCGCAUCUCUUGCUGAGUGCUUCGUUUCGGCUUAUUUCGGAUUGAUUUUUUCUUUCCGGAUGAUUACUUUGAGAAAAUUAGAGUGCUCAAAGCAGGCUUUUGCCUUGAAUAGUUUAGCAUGGAAUAAUAAAGUAGGACUUUGGUUCUAUUUUGUUGGUUUUAGGUACCAAAGUAAUGGUUAAUAGGAACAGUUGGGGGCAUUCGUAUUUAACUGUCAGAGGUGAAAUUCUUAGAUUUGUUAAAGACGAACUACUGCGAAAGCAUUUGCCAAGGAUGUUUUCAUUAAUCAAGAACGAAAGUUAGGGGAUCGAAGACGAUCAGAUACCGUCGUAGUCCUACCCAUAAACUAA
rnacentral:rRNA from 1 species